GGGUGCGAGGGUUAUCUGGCUGUGACAUCUGUCACCCCAUUGCUCACCAGGGCUGAUUUGGUUGAUCUGGCUGGCUAGGCAGGUGCCCCCUUCCUCUCUUACUGCUCCACGUGUGUCCUUUUGGAAGCUGCAUGCUGAGGCAAAGAGGACAACCAUCCCCAAUAGAGGAGGACCAGCCUUCAGUCAAGGGUAGCUGUGUUCCCCUGCUAGAACCUACAAACAAGCUCCCAAAAUAGUAUAUGGGAUGUGUGUAUACUUAAAAAGGAUUAGUCACUUAUCUGAAAUUCAGAUUUACCUGGGAAUCCUGUACUGUUU
ensembl:misc_RNA 7SK 7SK RNA